rnacentral:rRNA from 1 species
UACGUAGGGAGCAAGCGUUGUUCGGAUUUACUGGGCGUAAAGGGCGCGUAGGCGGCGCGGUAAGUCACUUGUGAAAUCUCUGAGCUUAACUCAGAACGGCCAAGUGAUACUGCAGUGCUAGAGUGCAGAAAGGGCAAUCGGAAUUCUUGGUGUAGCGGUGAAAUGCGUAGAUAUCAAGAGGAACACCUGAGGCGACGGCGGGUUGCUAGGCUGACACUGACGCUGAGGCGCGAAAGCGUGGGGAGCAAACCGG